CAGUCGAGCGGAGAUGAGGUGCUUGCACCUUAUCUUAGCGGCGGACGGGUGAGUAAUGCUUAGGAAUCUGCCUAUUAGUGGGGGACAACAUUCCGAAAGGAAUGCUAAUACCGCAUACGCCCUACGGGGGAAAGCAGGGGAUCUUCGGACCUUGCGCUAAUAGAUGAGCCUAAGUCGGAUUAGCUAGUUGGUGGGGUAAAGGCCUACCAAGGCGACGAUCUGUAGCGGGUCUGAGAGGAUGAUCCGCCACACUGGGACUGAGACACGGCCCAGACUCCUACGGGAGGCAGCAGUGGGGAAUAUUGGACAAUGGGCGGAAGCCUGAUCCAGCCAUGCCGCGUGUGUGAAGAAGGCCUUUUGGUUGUAAAGCACUUUAAGCGAGGAGGAGGCUACUUAGAUUAAUACUCUAGGAUAGUGGACGUUACUCGCAGAAUAAGCACCGGCUAACUCUGUGCCAGCAGCCGCGGUAAUACAGAGGGUGCGAGCGUUAAUCGGAUUUACUGGGCGUAAAGCGUGCGUAGGCGGCUGAUUAAGUCGGAUGUGAAAUCCCUGAGCUUAACUUAGGAAUUGCAUUCGAUACUGGUCAGCUAGAGUAUGGGAGAGGAUGGUAGAAUUCCAGGUGUAGCGGUGAAAUGCGUAGAGAUCUGGAGGAAUACCGAUGGCGAAGGCAGCCAUCUGGCCUAAUACUGACGCUGAGGUACGAAAGCAUGGGGAGCAAACAGGAUUAGAUACCCUGGUAGUCCAUGCCGUAAACGAUGUCUACUAGCCGUUGGGGCCUUUG
rnacentral:rRNA from 1 species